CGUGAUCCGGAUCGAGGACAGUGUAUGGUGGGCAGUUUGACUGGGGCGGUCUCCUCCUAAAGAGUAACGGAGGAGUACGAAGGUGCGCUCAGACCGGUCGGAAAUCGGUCGCAGAGUAUAAAGGCAAAAGCGCGCUUGACUGCGAGACAGACACGUCGAGCAGGUACGAAAGUAGGUCUUAGUGAUCCGGUGGUUCUGUAUGGAAGGGCCAUCGCUCAACGGA
rnacentral:rRNA from 1 species